GACGAACGCUGGCGGCAUGCCUAAUACAUGCAAGUCGAACGAAUGAAGGAGUGCUUGCACUCCGGAUUUAGUGGCGAACGGGUGAGUAACACGUAGGCAACCUGCCCAAGAGACGGGGACAACAGUUGGAAACGACUGCUAAUACCGGAUAGGAUAUUUCUUUGCAUGAAGAAAUAUUUAAAGAUGUGUAUGCAUCACUCUUGGAUGGGCCUGCGUCGCAUUAGCUAGUUGGUAAGGUAAUGGCUUACCAAGGCGACGAUGCGUAGCCGAGCUGAGAGGCUGAUCGGCCACACUGGAACUGAGACACGGCCCAGACUCCUACGGGAGGCAGCAGUGGGGAAUAUUGCGCAAUGGGGGAAACCCUGACGCAGCAACGCCGCGUGAAGGAAGAAGGCUCUAGGGUUGUAAACUUCUUUGAUCAGGGAAGAAAAAAUGACGGUACCUGAAGAACAAGCCACGGCUAACUACGUG
rnacentral:rRNA from 1 species